rnacentral:lncRNA from 1 species
GUGGUGACACGUCAGCGCCGCGGCUACUAGGAUAGUGGACACAGCGCGCCUGGCUACUGCACUAGUAGAAUGCUGCGGGUGGUGACACUUCAGCGCCACGGCUACUAGGAUAGUGGACACAGCGCGCCUGGCUACUGCACUAGUAGAAUGCCGCGGGUGGUGACACUUCAGCGCCGCGGCUACUAGGAUAGUGGAUACAGCGCGCCUGGCUACUGCACUAGUAGAAUGUUGCGGGUGGUGACACGUCAGCGCCGCGGCUACUAGGAUAGUAGACACAGCACGCCUUACUACUGCACUAGUAGAAUGCCGCGGGUGGUGACACCUCAGCUCCACGGCUACUAGGAUAGUGGACACAGCGCGCCUGGCUACUGCACUAGUAGAAUGCUGCGGUUGGUGACCCGUAAGCGCCGCGGCUACUAGGAUAGUGGACACAGCGCGCCUGGCUACUGCACUAGUAGAAUGUUGCGGGUGGUGACACGUCAGCGCCGCGGCUACUAGGAUAGUGGACACAGCGCGCCUGGCUACUGCACUAGUAGAAUGCCGCGGGUGGUGACCCUCAGCGCCGCGGCUACUAGGAUAGUGGACACAGCGCGCCUGGCUACUGCACUAGUAGAAUGCUGCGGGUGGUGACACCUCAGCGCCGCGGCUACUAGGAUAGUGGACACAGCGCGCCUGGCUACUGCACUAGUAGAAUGCCGCGGGUGGUGACACCUCAGCGCCGCGGCUACUAGGAUAGUGGACACAGCGCGCCUGGCUACUGCACUAGUAGAAUGUUGCGGGUGGUGACACGUCAGCGCCGCGGCUACUAGGAUAGUAGACACAGCACGCCUUACUACUGCACUAGUAGAAUGCCGCGGGUGGUGACACCUCAGCUCCACGGCUACUAGGAUAGUGGACACAGCGCGCCUGGCUACUGCACUAGUAGAAUGCUGCGGUUGGUGACCCGUAAGCGCCGCGGCUACUAGGAUAGUGGACACAGCGCGCCUGGCUACUGCACUAGUAGAAUGCCGCGGGUGGUGACACCUCAGCGCCGCGGCUACUAGGAUAGUGGACACAGCGCGCCUGGCUACUGCACUAGUAGAAUGCUGCGGGUGGUGACACUUCAGCGCCGCGGCUACUAGGAUAGUGGACACAGCGCGCCUGGCUACUGCACUAGUAGAAUGCUGCGGGUGGUGACACCUCAGCGCCGCGGCUACUAGGAUAGUGGACACAGCGCGCCUGGCUACUGCACUAGUAGAAUGCCGCGGGUGGUGACACCUCAGCGCCGCGGCUACUAGGAUAGUGGACACAGCGCGCCUGGCUACUGCACUAGUAGAAUGCUGCGGGUGGUGACACCUCAGCGCCACGGCUACUAGGAUAGUGGACACAGCGCGCCUGGCUACUGCACUAGUAGAAUGCCGCGGGUGGUGACACUUCAGCGCCGCGGCUACUAGGAUAGUGGAUACAGCGCGCCUGGCUACUGCACUAGUAGAAUGCCGCGGGUGGUGACACGUCAGCGCCGCGGCUACUAGGAUAGUGGACACAGCGCGCCUGGCUACUUCACUAGUAGAAUGCUGCGGGUGGUGACCCGUAAGCGCCGCGGCUGCAAGGAUAGUGGACACAGCGCGCCUGGCUAUGCACUAGUAGAAUGCUGCAAGUGGUGACACGUCAGAGCGGCGGCUACUAGGAUAGUGGACACAGCGCGCCUUACUACUGCACUAGUAGAAUGCCGCGGGUGGUGACACCUCAGCUCCACGGCUACUAGGAUAGUGGACACAGCGCGCCUGGCUACUGCACUAGUAGAAUGCUGCAGGUGGUGACACCUCAGCGCCACGGCUGCUAGGAUAGUGGACACAGCGCGCCUGGCUACUGCACUAGUAGAAUGCUGCGGGUGGCGACACUUCAGCGCCGCGGCUGCUAGGAUAGUGGACACAGCGCGCCUGGCUACUGCACUAGUAGAAUGCCGCGGGUGGUGACACGUCAGCGCCGCGGCUACUAGCAUAGUGGACACAGCGCGCCUGGCUACUGCACUAGUAGAAUGCUGCGGGUGGUGACCCCUAAGCGCCGCGGCUGCUAGGAUAGUGGACACAUCGCGCCUGGCUACUGCACUAGUAGAAUGCUGCAAGUGGUGACACGUCAGAGCGGCGGCUACUAGGAUAGUGGACACAGCGCGCCUUACUACUGCACUAGUAGAAUGCCGCGGGUGGUGACACCUCAGCUCCACGGCUACUAGGAUAGUGGACACAGCGCGCCUGGCUACUGCACUAGUAGAAUGCCGCGGGUGGUGACUCUUCAGCGCCGCGGCUACUAGGAUAGCGGACACAGCGCGCCUGGCUUCUGCACUAGUAGAAUGCUGCGGGUGGUGACACCUCAGCGCCACGGCUACUAGGAUAGUGGACACAGCGCGCCUGGCUACUGCACUAGUAGAAUGCCGCGGGUGGUGACACGUCAGCGCCGCGGCUACUAGGAUAGUGGAUACAGCGCGCCUGGCUACUGCACUAGUAGAAUGCCGCGGGUGGUGACACGUCAGCGCCGCGGCUACUAGGAUAGUG